rnacentral:rRNA from 1 species
GACGAACGCUGGCGGCGUGCUUAACACAUGCAAGUCGAACGCUGAAGCUCAGCUUUUGUUGGGUGGAUGAGUGGCGAACGGGGGAGGAACACGUGAGUAACCUGCCCCCUUCUUUGGGAUAACGCCCGGAAACGGGUGCUAAUACUGGAUAUUCACUGGUCUUCGCAUGGGGGCAGGUGGAAAGGGUUCUUUUGGUGGGGGAUGGGCUCGCGGCCUAUCAGCGUGUUGGUGGGGUGAUGGCCUAACAAGGCUUUGACGGGUUGCCGGCCUGAGCAGGUGACCUGGAACUUUGGGACUGUCAUACCGCCCAGACUCCGCAGGGGGGGAGCAGUGGGGAAUAUUGCCCCAUGGGCGCUCGACUCAUGCCGCGUCGCUGAGUAAGGGCUGGGGGCCGUAGAGUUGUGAAGCUCUUUCGGUCAUGGUCCAGCCGCAACACUGGUUGUGGUGAGGGUAGUGGGUAAAGAAGCGCCGGCUAACUACGUG